rnacentral:misc_RNA from 1 species
AUUGUAUCUGCUUCUUAAUUACAUCUGCAUUCAACUGCUGAUUAAUCUGCAUAAGAUCCUUCUACCAUGGGGAGAGAUAUCUGCUCCUUCUUGCAUCAUCAAGGGAUCUCCAGCCACCAUACUUGGAAGUGAGUAUUCUGAUCCACAUGUCCCCUUGUUUCUGAAACACUUCCCACCUCCACUUUCCUAGCAAUGCCGUGUUAAAUGC